UCGGUGUUGUGUGUACGGCGCUGCGUCUCUUACGUACGGACACGUUCUCUCUCUCCUCUCACCCCUGGGUUUGGGCGUUUCCCCCGCCCUCCUCACACCCCACAUGGCGAUGGGUUGUCAUCGUGUAUUGCCGUGACCUUCCCCUUUUUCAUCUUUGACCACCCCCUUCUGCUCAGGGGGGAUGCCCCUUCGCGCCGUGUCCUCCAUCCUCACAUCCCUUUCCCCCGCCAAACCACCCCCUCCCGGUGCGUCUGUGUUUCGUGUGUUUUCCCCUCUGGCGCCGCCCCCGUCAUGGUGGUGAUGGUGGUGGUGAUGAUGAUGUCGUACAGGCCUACGCUGCGAAGCAGUCUCCCCCUCAGUGGCAGGGUUGGACCUGGGCGGUGGUGCUGGGCGUGUGUGGGUAUUCGAUGGUGGUCAUACACCACCAACUGUUUUGGUGAGGUUUCAGGGUUUUCAGGGGGUUUUCAGGGGGGUUAGGGUUUUCAGGGGGGUUAGGGUUUUCAGGGGGGUUAGGGUUUUCAGGGGGGUUAGGGUUUUUAUGUUGAGAAAGGGGGGAAGGAGAGGGUGAUGGGGGGGGGCUCGGGGAAACCGGCCGGAAAGCCGUCAUACCGGCGUAGGACGUGGUACUAUCAUGCCGCCUGCCGUACCGUGGGGUGGGAGUGGGGGUGGGGGUGGGGGUAAUUGGAGUGGAUGGCGGGAAAAGAUCGGGACCGCUCCUGGUUUCUGUUGGGUGGUGGUUGGGAGGUGGUUAGGGGGCAUACCUGCAUACCCAGCGAGAUCAUAGCCUGGAGGUGGCAGUGGGGCCCCCCACGCUUUCGUGGGUUUUACCCCUUCCCCCACCCUCCCACCCCUCAUUUCCCCUCGCUCGCCAGUCCUCAGUAGUCUCGUGCCCCUUCCGUCCCAAACCCGUCUCCCACGCCACCCCCACCUACUGCACCCUCCCAUACCCCCCCACCCCCGCACACCCCAACCCCCGCACACCCUCCCUCAGGAUAGGUAUGCGUGCGGGUUUUCUGAUGCGGCAACAAGCCGUGUCUGCCAUCCAUGCCAAGGU
rnacentral:lncRNA from 1 species